rnacentral:tRNA from 1 species
GUUAGCGUGGCAGAGCCUGGUCAUGCAAAAGANCUAAAC